rnacentral:lncRNA from 13 species
GUGCUUCCUAUAAUGUGUUCUUGACUCUGCGUGUUACAGCUGCAGCUGUACUGGUGUGACCUGUUGAGACUACAGAGGUGGGUUUCCAUCAGCCACAGGGGACCAAGCAUACGACAUACCUAUUCUUUGGGGAGGAAAAUGAACAUUCGGGAAAAGGAGAUGAGGACCCAUGCAAGAUUAUAAUAGAAGAUCUGGGAAAUUCCUUGAGGGGCACCUACUGUUAUGGGGCUUGGUAUCACAUGGGCAGAAACUCAAGUUGAAUUCUGAUCUUUAUUUACAUGGAAUCAAGCAAAACAACUCACAAACAGAAAAACAAUUCUUAAAAAUUUUAGCACAACAAUUACAAAUGCAGCUUUAAAAUGUCAACUGUUGAGACUGAAUAAAGCAACACAUGCAAAUUGUUUAUUAUAAGUU